GGUUAAGCGACUAAGCGUACACGGUGGAUGCCCUGGCAGUCAGAGGCGAUGAAGGACGUGCUAAUCUGCGAUAAGCGUCGGUAAGGUGAUAUGAACCGUUAUAACCGGCGAUUUCCGAAUGGGGAAACCCAGUGUGAUUCGUCACACUAUCAUUAACUGAAUCCAUAGGUUAAUGAGGCGAACCGGGGGAACUGAAACAUCUAAGUACCCCGAGGAAAAGAAAUCAACCGAGAUUCCCCCAGUAGCGGCGAGCGAACGGGGAGCAGCCCAGAGUCUGAAUCAGUGUGUGUGUUAGUGGAAGCGUCUGGAAAGGCGCGCGAUACAGGGUGACAGCCCCGUACACAAAAAUGCACAUGCUGUGAGCUCGAUGAGUAGGGCGGGACACGUGGUAUCCUGUCUGAAUAUGGGGGGACCAUCCUCCAAGGCUAAAUACUCCUGACUGACCGAUAGUGAACCAGUACCGUGAGGGAAAGGCGAAAAGAACCCCGGCGAGGGGAGUGAAAAAGAACCUGAAACCGUGUACGUACAAGCAGUGGGAGCACGCUUAGGCGUGUGACCGCGUACCUUUUGUAUAAUGGGUCAGCGACUUAUAUUCUGUAGCAAGGUUAACCGAAUAGGGGAGCCGAAGGGAAACCGAGUCUUAACUGGGCGUUAAGUUGCAGGGUAUAGACCCGAAACCCGGUGAUCUAGCCAUGGGCAGGUUGAAGGUUGGGUAACACUAACUGGAGGACCGAACCGACUAAUGUUGAAAAAUUAGCGGAUGACUUGUGGCUGGGGGUGAAAGGCCAAUCAAACCGGGAGAUAGCUGGUUCUCCCCGAAAGCUAUUUAGGUAGC
rnacentral:rRNA from 1 species